GUUGACCCUCCCUGUGGUGCUUCCCCUCAUGCCUCAGCGCUGGGAAGUUGUCAGGUUCCCCUGCAGUUAUCCUCAGUGACAGGAACAAAUGUGAAGGGAGGGCUGGGUGUGCCUAGGAGCCCCACAGGAGCAGCAGCUGCUCCUGCAUUGAGUCCCGACGCCUGAACACGCACAGAAGCCAGGCAGCACCAUUCAGCCCCAAGAAAGAUACAGCUAGGUAUCCACGACGGUCUGCGCUUGCACUCUCCAAAGCCUUGGUAAGCAUCAGAGUCUGCCGGAAGUCUGGAUAAAAUUCAGACUGCUGGAGCCCAUCCCAGAACUUCUGCUUCACACGAGAGAGGCCUUGUCUGCGCACGGUGCUAUUCCUGGAUGCUCCAGCCUUUCCUGAACUUUCCUUGGAUCAUUUCCCAGCGUUGAGCCACUGUGUACAUUUGUGCCAGCAGAAGAAAAGGUGCAGAAGGAUGUUAACUGUUCACAGUAGUUACGUGGGGAGGUAGGUGGGUUGGAGUUGCGCAGGUAGAGACAGUUAACUCCCCUUCUCCCCUUCUCUGUUGUUUGGCUUGUUACAGCCAGCAUGCUUUACACACAUAACUUAAAAAAUCCAAUAAAAUUAACGAGCAAGUUGCAAAAGGAGGCAUGCAGCAUGAUCUCAUGCAAAUAAAAUCCAAAACUCUGCUAA